rnacentral:rRNA from 3 species
GCAUAUUAAUAAGCGGAGGAAAAGAAAACAACUGUGAUUCCCUUAGUAAUG